AUGAUGUGUGACGUUAGCCAAAGCCUCUGCUGUCAACUUUCCUUUCGGGUUGAAACCCUAAAAAAUACUCUUGGCUCACAGUCUCCUCACUUCCUGUUUCCUGACAACCUGCAGUUUCCUUGUAUGGCGCUGGGGACAGGCCAGGCCUUCUGUUUCUUAGACCUCCACCCACUUCUUCCUUGUGCACAGAGGUCUCUGAGGCAGCAUCCAUGCCGGGAUUCCCACAGCUGAUCAGCACCUUCAGACAGAACCAGCUCUGCGGAGAUAUUUGGUAGCCUGGUGUCUGCCCAGCCCAGGGAUCUGGUGUUAACAAGGCAGUUGCCUUAGGAAAGCUUCACAGGUGUGUAUCAGGAGUGGCUGUUGUAAGGUAGUAGAUGCUGAGAACUGCAGAUAGGUUUCCUGGAUAUUUCCUUUCUCUGUUAGGAUUGAAAAAAUAAUGUCAAUGAGAAACUGUAACAAAAGAAGCCAACAAUCACUUUCUUUCUUUAAAUGCCACAAGUGAUCUUUUGGGAAAGUACAGUAAAACCUUGGUUUGUGAGCAUAAUUCUGUUCGGAAACACGCUUGUAAUCCAAAGCACUUGUAUAUCAAAGUGAAUUUCCCCUAAGAAAUAGUGUAAGCUCAGAUGAUUCAUUUUACAAUAAAAAAUAAUCAUAUAAGAUGAUUACAAUGCUAUAAUAUAAAAUAAUAAAGAACACAUGAAAUAUAAAGAAAAAUAAACUAACCAACACUUACUUU
rnacentral:lncRNA from 1 species